UACGUAGGGUGCGAGCGUUAAUCGGAAUUACUGGGCGCAAAGCGUGCGCAGGCGGUUUUGUAAGCCAGAUGUGAAAGCCCCGGGCUUAACCUGGGAAUGGCAUUUGGGACUGCAAGGCUUGAGUGCGGCAGAGGAGACUGGAAUUCCCGGUGUAGCAGUGAAAUGCGUAGAUAUCGGGAGGAAUACCGAUGGCGAAGGCAGGUCUCUGGGCUGACACUGACGCUCAUGCACGAAAGCGUGGGGAGCAAACAGG
rnacentral:rRNA from 1 species